rnacentral:rRNA from 1 species
GACGAACGCUGGCGGCGUGCUUAACACAUGCAAGUCGAACGGAAAGGCUCUGCUUUUGAGGGCUGCUCGAGUGGCGAACGGGUGAGUAACACGUGAGUAACCUGCCCUUGACUUUGGGAUAACUUCAGGAAACUGGGGCUAAUACCGGGUAGGAGCUCCUGCUGCAUGGUGUGGGUUGGAAAGUUUCGGCGGUUGGGGAUGGACUCGCGGCUUAUCAGCUUGUUGGUGGGGUAGUGGCUUACCAAGGCUUUGACGGGUAGCCGGCCUGAGAGGGUGACCGGCGACAUUGGGACUGAGAUACGGCCCAGACUCCUACGGGAGGCAGCAGUGGGGAAUAUUGCACUAUGGGCGGAAGCCUGAUGCAGCAACGCCGCGUGCGGGAUAACGGCCUUCGGGUUGUAAACCGCUUGCGCAUGUGACGAAGCGUGAGUGACGGUAAUGGGUAAAGAAGCACCGGCUAACUACGUG